rnacentral:rRNA from 1 species
AACGAACGCUGGCGGCGUGGAUAAGACAUGCAAGUCGAACGGGAUUUUUUUCUGUAGCAAUACAGGAAAAAGUCUAGUGGCGAACGGGUGCGUAACACGUGAGCAACCUGCCGUGAAGUGGGGGAUAGCUCGCCGAAAGGCGAAUUAAUACCGCAUGUGGCCAAGGAAGACAUCUUCCUGACGCCAAAGCCGGGGCAACCUGGCGCUUCUCGAGGGGCUCGCGGCCUAUCAGCGUGUUGGUGAGGUAACGGCUCACAAAGGCUAUGACGGGUAGCUGGUCUGAGAGGACGACCAGCCACACUGGAACUGAGACACGGUCCAGACACCUACGGGUGGCAGCAGUCGGGAAUUUUUCACAAUGGGGGAAACCCUGAUGGAGCGACGCCGCGUGGAGGAUGAAGUUUUUCGGAUUGUAAACUCCUGUCAUUAGAGAACAAGGCACACGGUUUAACUGGCCGUGUGUUGAUAGUAUCUGAAGAGGAAGAGACGGCUAACUCUGUGCCAGCAGCCGCCGUAA